rnacentral:rRNA from 1 species
GUGUCAGCAGCCGCGGUAAUACGUAGGGGGCGAGCGUUGUCCGGAUUUACUGGGCGUAAAGAGCGCGUAGGCGGUUCGUUAAGUUGGCUGUGAAAUCUCCCGGCCUAACUGGGAGGGGUCAGCCGAGACUGGCGGACUCGAGGGCGGUAGAGGAAGGUGGAACUCCGGGUGUAGUGGUGAAAUGCGUAGAUAUCCGGAAGAACACCGGUGGCGAAGGCGGCCUUCUGGGCCGUACCUGACGCUGAGGCGCGAAAGCGUGGGGAGCGAACUGAAUUAGAUACUCAGGUAGUCCACGCCCUAAACGAUGGACGCUAGGUGUCGGGGGUAUCGACCCCUCCGGUGCCGAAGCUAACGCAUUAAGCGUCCCGCCUGGGGAGUACGGCCGCAAGGCUAAA